GGAGAGAUGGCUGAGUGGUCGAAAGCGCCUUCCUGCUAAGAAGGUGGUUCCAUAAAACGGGGCCCGAGGGUUCGAAUCCCUCUCUCUCCGCCA
rnacentral:tRNA from 1 species